GUCUAUGGCCAUGCCACCCUGAACGUGUCUGAUCUCAUCUGAUCUCAGAAGCUAAGCAGGGUCGGGCCUGGUUAGUACUUGGAUAGAAGACCACCUAGGAAGACCAGGUGCUGUAGGCA
rnacentral:rRNA from 1 species